CAGAGCCACGGGAAUACAGAGGGUGCGAGCGUUAAUCGGAUUUACUGGGCGUAAAGCGUGCGUAGGUGGCUUUUUAAGUCGGAUGUGAAAUCCCUGAGCUUAACUUAGGAAUUGCAUUCGAUACUGGGAAGCUAGAGUAUGGGAGAGGAUGGUAGAAUUCCAGGUGUAGCGGUGAAAUGCGUAGAGAUCUGGAGGAAUACCGAUGGCGAAGGCAGCCAUCUGGCCUAAUACUGACGCUGAGGUACGAAAGCAUGGGGAGCAAACAGGAUUAGAUACCCGCGUAGUCCCUGUCUCUUAUACA
rnacentral:rRNA from 1 species